rnacentral:rRNA from 1 species
GACGAACCAUGCAAACGUUAUUCGGAAUUACUGGGCUUAAAGCGUGCGUAGGCGGCUCAGAAAGUUGGGUGUGAAAUCCCUCGGCUCAACCGAGGAAUUGCGCCCAAAACUACUGGGCUCGAGGGAGUUAGAGGUGAGCGGAACUCACGGUGGAGCGGUGAAAUGCGUUGAUAUCGUGAGGAACACCGGAGGCGAAAGCGGCUCACUGGGGCUUAUCUGACGCUGAGGCACGAAAGCUAGGGGAGCAAACGGG